GAGCCUACGGGGGGCAGCAGUGGGGGAUAUUGCACAAUGGGGGAAACCCUGAUGCAGCGACGCCGCGUGAGUGAAGAAGUAUUUCGGUACGUAAAGCUCUAUCAGCAGGGAAGAAUAAUGACGGUACCUGACUAAGAAGCCCCGGCUAACUACGUGCCAGCAGCCGCGGUAAUACGUAGGGGGCAAGCGUUAUCCGGAUUUACUGGGUGUAAAGGGAGCGUAGACGGCUGUGCAAGUCUGAAGUGAAAGGCCGAGGCCCAGCCCCGGGACUGCUCUGGAAACUAUUGAACUUGAGUGCAGGAGAG
rnacentral:rRNA from 1 species